CAAUAUGCUAAACAAGAGGCUUUUUCUGUUUUCAGUUGACAAGGCUCGUCUUCUAACAAAUGGCGAAGAGAAUACAACUCAAGGUCAGCUUGUUACACCAUCAGGUGCCUCAUCGUCAUGCGCACCUGAUAAAACAGCAGCCCCAGAUAACUUCAUAACGGAGGUAUCGGUACCUUUGAGUGCCAGUAACAGUGGGUCUGAGCCUUGUGACCGAGGUGUAGCAGAGACCCAGACAACAACAACCCAGAGUCUUGAGCACAAGUCUGACGAAUGCAACACAUCCACCUUGAGAUGUGGGGAAAAGCGGGCGAGGGAAUCAGAAGACCGCUCUGAUGUUCCUGUGAAACGGCGUUUGAGAACAUCGGAAGAUAGCAGGAAAGAAUUUCUACCAGACUACGACGCGAGAUGUGCCGAGCUGUGGAUCAAUGGUGAAAUGGCUGCUUGUGAGGCUUAUGAGUUAUCAAAGUCCAGCCGCAACACCCAACGCCAACGUGCUGUUCGACAACCCGGCAAUAGUAGUUCUGUGAAUCAGCCUCUCACCCAGAGUGACUUUUUACGUCUCAUCCGAAUUGAAGUGGCAGCUGGUUAUCAAUCCAUCGCAAAGAUGCUUCGUUUGAGUAUGGAGCAGAGCAGAGCUGAUUUCGCAGAGGUGAUAAAUAGACUUGAUGCAAUGCAAAGGGAUACCAGAGAGUUGGCUAAUGAAGUCCGUAAAAUGCGAGCGGAUGGAAGACUAGCAUUAGAUGCAAUCUCUCUUAUGAAUGAAAAAAUGAGCGUCAUUCAAAGGUUUGCGUUGGACUUGCAUCGAGCGCUGACUACUAGAAAAUGAGGGGUCUGUUUAUUAUAGCAUACUGAUUUGCAUUCAAGCCUACUUUUGCUAAACAGCUUUUCCUUUUUUGAUAUACUUGUAUUGAUGAGUGAUUUUUUUUUAUGUUGUGCAUGCCUGUUUAUUGUAUCACUUUCCUGUGUUAUUUUAGUAGUUUUUAAAUAAAUAGUUUCAAAAUGGCCC
rnacentral:lncRNA from 1 species